AUGGAGUCUGUGCUGGGCUGGGUCUUCCUUGUUGCUUUCUUAAAACGUGUCCAGUGUGAGGUGCAGCUGGUGGAGUCCGGGGGAGGCCUGAGCCAACCUGGGGGGUCGCUGAGACUCUCCUGUGCAGCCUCUGGGUUCACCUUCAGAAGUCAUUACAUGAGCUGGGUCCGCAAGGCUCCAGGGAAGGGGCUGCAGUGGGUGGCAUCGAUUAGCUAUAAUGGUGGUAGCACAUACUACGCAGAUUCCAUGAAGGGCCGAUUCACCAUCUCCAGAGACAACGCCAAAAACACACUUUAUCUGCAAAUGAACAGUCUGAAAGUCGAGGACACAGCCGUGUAUUACUGUGCAAAAGACACAGUGAGCACAAGCUCAGGGCAGACGGAGCCCCCGGGCAACACUGAUGGUGACUCUCUGGACUCCGAGCUGGAGUCUGAUGGUUGGAACCCACCCAGGGAGAUCCAAGAAGGUGGUGAGGGGACGGUCACUAACAUAUACAAGCAGAAUGAGGUUUACAUCUGA